rnacentral:ncRNA from 1 species
UUACCGAGCUCCUGCCCUUCGGGGUAGAGACGCCACCCGUGUAUACCAGACCGACGUUGCUUUGGCGGGCCCCGCGCCCGCCAGAGACCCCAAACCCUGAGUGUUAGUGUCGUCAGAGUACUAUCUAAUAGUUAAAACUUUCAACAACGGAUCUCUUGGUUCUGGCAUCGAUGAAGAACGCAGCGAAAUGCGAUAAGUAAUGUGAAUUGCAGAAUUCAGUGAAUCAUCGAAUCUUUGAACGCACAUUGCGCCCCUCGGUAUUCCGGGGGGCAUGCCUGUUCGAGCGUCAUAUUAGCCAAUCCAGCCCUGCUGGGUCUUGGGCUCGCCAGCACGGCGGGCCCCAAAGCUAGUGGCGGUGCCGUCCGGCUCCUAAGCGUAGUACAACCCCUCGCUAUAGGUCCCGGGCGCGCGCCCGCCAGCAACCCCCUUUCUACGGUUGACCUCGGAUCAGGUAGGGAUACCCGCUGAACUUAAGCAUAUCAAUAA